GUGGUAUUGCUCAAACUAAAAUGAAAGUAAGAAAACGUAACAAAAGCACAUUUGUCACUGCAAUGCACUGCACACAAUUGAGUAAUUAUUUCAUUGGGACUAAAAGGGAAAAUGCUGGAUGUAUGAGAGCAAGUUAGAGGCACUAGGGAGUGAGAGCCCAGACUAGCGACAAAGGAGGGACAAGGGUCACAGGGAAGACUUGGUGGCACCACAGGGGGAAGGGCAGGGUUCAGCUGACAGCUUUUCCAGGUCCAGCUGGCUAGGGACAUGAUCAUUUUCUUGAGAGAAACAGGCACCUCAAGAGAGGAAGUGGUUUUUUGGAAAGGUAACUCUUUAAGAAAAAGGCACAUUGCACUUGAGGAGAUGGUACUGAGGCAUCUGGGUGUGUGGAGCCAGUAGGUGGCUAGGAAAUGCCAUACAGGGUGUCUUGCCUUGCUGCUUCAUGCCUUUUUGGUUCACCUUUCCUUUUAUUUUCUGUAAGGUUUUUCUUUUUUUUCCUUCUUUCCUUCCUUCCUUCCAUCCUUCAUCUGCGCUCAUGGCAUGUGGAAGUUCUCAGGCUAGGGGUCGAAUCGAGAGCUGCAGCUGCCAGCCUACGCCACAGCCACACCAGAUCCAAGCCGUGUCUGCAACCUACACCAUAGCUCAUGGAAACGCCAGAUCCUUAACCUACUGAGCAAGGCCGGGCAUCGAAUCUGUGUCCUCAUGGUUACUAAUCAGGUUUGUUCCCACUGUGCCACAAUGGGAACUCCUAUUUUCUGUAAGGUUGAAACAUAGCACCGCCUGGGAAAUGUCUGUCGGCCAGCACAGUUGCAUUUUAGGAAAUGGAGCCCCAGGGCCUUCAGGAGGGGUCACGCCCAUCCUUGUUCACCACACUUUUUGUGGGUCUCUCUUAUCCUUUCCUCUGUUACUGCUGCUUCACAGACUGAGGUUUUUUGGUCAGCCCUGAAAGUAUGGGUGUUUAUGAAGCGAGCUUCAAAGUCAGACUGGACAGCUUGGCCUAAGAUCGAGAAUGGUGAGGCAGGCGUAAGCAAGUGGGUCAGAGCCACUUCAGACCCUGUCACAGGGAGCCUCUGUGGAGCAGAGGAAUGAUCCUUGUGGGCAGGUGCGAUUGGACUUGAGCUUUCUUUCUCUACUAUGGAGGACUGCAGAAUUUGGGGCAAGUUGCCUAACUUGUGUGAAACCCAGUUCCUCACCACUAAGGUAUGCUCCUUCAAGGUUCCCAUGGAAACAGAAUCUCAUGUGAGCAUCCGUAGCACUGUGUAUGGACUGGUCCACUCUCAGCAAAUGUGGGCACAUCUCUUUGGUUGAUUUUGAUGGGAAUAUGGGGUUGAGAAUUUAAAAUAAUAAAAUAACUCAGGUAGGACUGUCAGGGUUUUGACAAGCUCUCUUGCCUAUAUGUUUUUGUUUUUAAUGCAAACUGUUUAUAUGUAUUCACCUCUCCUGAGAUUCCAUUUAGAAGCUGUGUAGCAUAAACUUACUCAGUAAUACUCACCAUGCUUUUAUCAAUCUAGACCAAACACCAUUAGGAUAUUUCAAAGGAAGGAAGCUUGUACAUGGUCUUAGAGCUCUUUUUGACAGUGUAAAUAAUUUACGAGCAUCAUUCAGCCCCCUUGGGUCUUGUAUGACGCAAUUAAACCCACUUGCCAGGACUUAGAAAUCCUCUACUUCCAGCCCAACCCUCACUCUACCCCAGGAGUUCUCUUCAAAGGUUCCUCGGCCAAGGAGGAGGACCUAGAUACCUGUUUUCCUUUGCAUGUAUGUAUUUUUGGGAGAAGGGGAGCAGGGCAGACACAUUUUGGCUAAACAAAGAUGGCCAAGGAGUGUCCGUUUUCCAAAUAAUUGUUUCUCAAGGGUAAGUCAGUGAAAAAGAGACUAUUGGGUGCUUCUUCCAGCUGCUGGUUUUGUUGGGGUGAAGGGGGAGAGGGAGCAGUAGGGGUGUAGAGACUAAAAGAGGGUAGUUUAUGGAGGCUUCCCACUAACAAAAAAAGCCGUAUAGACAAAGUGGGGCCUUUCCUGCCAGCUAUGUUGUAAGUUGAGUUUAUCUGGCUUUUUCUGAAGCCUUCCAUUAGACCUUUGUUGAUGAAGCCUAUCUCAGUUCCCAAGGUCACUUUGUCUUGAGGCAACUUUCACCUUUACCACUGGGAGUUACCUUCCCCUACCCAUUUCUGUAUAAUGUAGUUUCUUGUUUUUUGUUCGUUUGUUUUUUUAGGGCUGCACCUGCCACAUAUGGUUAUUCCCAGGCCAGGGGUCAAAUCAGAGCUGCAGCCCCCAGUCCACGCCACGGCCAUAGCAACGCCAGAUCUGAACUGCAUCUGUGACCUACACCACAGCUCACAGCCACGCCAGAUCCUCAACCCACUGAGCGAGGCCCAUAUCGAACCUGCAUCCUCAUGGAUACCAGUCAGUUUUGUUUCCACUGAGCCGUGGUGGGAACUCCUAAUGUAGUUUCUUAAGAAUUCUUAAAGGUAGUAUACUUAAUAAUUCCCUGGGAAGCUUUGGAAAAAGCAGGAUAUAGGACCUAACUCUGGAGAUUUUGACUUAAUAGGUCUAGGAUAGAGCCUGAUUCUGAUGGAUGCAUUCUAGGGCAGUGGUUCUGAAGCCUUCCUCCACCCAGGAAUAACCUAAGAGCUUUAAAAAAAGUAUCAGUGCCUGCCCCUAUCCUUAUUAUAAUUUAAUUACUUAGCGUAACAAUCGGAACACAUAGACACCUAGUCAUAAUGCAGCAGGAGGCACCCAGAUCAAUGUAUUUCAAACUAAGAUUUUGGUGCCUGGUCUCUAAAACUGUCUCAUUAAUUUUUUCUUCUUCAUUAUAUUUAAUUUCCAUUUUAUACCAGAUCUUCAUGUCUCUGAUAGAGGGAAUUUUGAUUUGUGAGCUUUCUUCAUCAUUUCUCUUAAUUCAUUGUCCCAGGUUCAGUUGUGCAAGUUCACAGCAUCUCCUGUGGUGUGUCCUUCAUCUGGCUGACCACCAGGGGGCAGGCACACUCAGUCAAAUACUUGGGCUAUUUCCUUCAGUUGGUGCACCUUAUAGCCGGUAGAGAAAAAAA
rnacentral:lncRNA from 1 species